UCCCUGGUGGCUCAGAUGGUAAAGCAUCUGCCUGCAAUGUGGGAGACCCGGGUUCGAUCCCUGGGUUGGGAA
rnacentral:tRNA from 1 species